rnacentral:rRNA from 2 species
UGGGGAAUAUUGGGCAAUGGGCGCAAGCCUGACCCAGCGACGCCGCGUGAAGGAAGAAGGUCUUCGGAUUGUAAACUUUAGUCAACAGGGACGAAUAAAUGACGGUACCUGUGGAGGAAGCCACGGCUAACUACGUGCCAGCAGCCGCGGUAAUACGUAGGUGGCAAGCGUUAUCCGGAUUUACUGGGCGUAAAGGGUGUGUAGGCGGGACGGCAAGUCAGAAGUGAAAAUUAUGGGCUCAACCCAUAACCUGCUUUUGAAACUGUCGUUCUUGAGAGUCGGAGGGGUAAAUGGAAUUCCCAGUGUAGCGGUGAAAUGCGUAGAUAUUGGGAGGAACACCAGUGGCGAAGGCGAUUUACUGGACGACAACUGACGCUGAGACACGAAAGCGUGGGGAGCAAACAGG